rnacentral:rRNA from 1 species
CAGCAGCCACGGGAAUACAGAGGGUGCGAGCGUUAAUCGGAUUUACUGGGCGUAAAGCGUGCGUAGGCGGCUUCUUAAGUCGGAUGUGAAAUCCCUGAGCUUAACUUAGGAAUUGCAUUCGAUACUGGGAAGCUAGAGUAUGGGAGAGGAUGGUAGAAUUCCAGGUGUAGCAGUGAAAUGCGUAGAGAUGUGGAGGAAUACCGAUGGCGAAGGCAGCCCCCUGGGCCAAUACUGACGCUCAUGCACGAAAGCGUGGGGAGCAAACAGGAUUAGAUACCCCCGUAGUCCCUGUCUCUUAUAC